rnacentral:rRNA from 1 species
AGAGUUUGAUCCUGGCUCAGGAUGAACGCUAGCUACAGGCUUAACACAUGCAAGUCGAGGGGCAUCAGGAAGAAAGCUUGCUUUCUUUGCUGGCGACCGGCGCACGGGUGAGUAACACGUAUCCAACCUGCCCUUUACUCGGGGAUAGCCUUUCGAAAGAAAGAUUAAUACCCGAUGGCAUAAUGAUUCCGCAUGGUUUCAUUAUUAAAGGAUUCCGGUAAAGGAUGGGGAUGCGUUCCAUUAGGUUGUUGGUGAGGUAACGGCCCACCAAGCCUUCGAUGGAUAGGGGUUCUGAGAGGAAGGUCCCCCACAUUGGAACUGAGACACGGUCCAAACUCCUACGGGAGGCAGCAGUGAGGAAUAUUGGUCAAUGGGCGCUAGCCUGAACCAGCCAAGUAGCGUGAAGGAUGAAGGCUCUAUGGGUCGUAAACUUCUUUUAUAUAAGAAUAAAGUGCAGUAUGUAUACUGUUUUGUAUGUAUUAUAUGAAUAAGGAUCGGCUAACUCCGUGCCAGCAGCCGCGGUAAUACGGAGGAUCCGAGCGUUAUCCGGAUUUAUUGGGUUUAAAGGGAGCGUAGGUGGACUGGUAAGUCAGUUGUGAAAGUUUGCGGCUCAACCGUAAAAUUGCAGUUGAUACUGUCAGUCUUGAGUACAGUAGAGGUGGGCGGAAUUCGUGGUGUAGCGGUGAAAUGCUUAGAUAUCACGAAGAACUCCGAUUGCGAAGGCAGCUCACUGGACUGCAACUGACACUGAUGCUCGAAAGUGUGGGUAUCAAACAGGAUUAGAUACCCUGGUAGUCCACACAGUAAACGAUGAAUACUCGCUGUUUGCGAUAUACAGUAAGCGGCCAAGCGAAAGCAUUAAGUAUUCCACCUGGGGAGUACGCCGGCAACGGUGAAACUCAAAGGAAUUGACGGGGGCCCGCACAAGCGGAGGAACAUGUGGUUUAAUUCGAUGAUACGCGAGGAACCUUACCCGGGCUUAAAUUGCAGUGGAAUGAUGUGGAAACAUGUCAGUGAGCAAUCACCGCUGUGAAGGUGCUGCAUGGUUGUCGUCAGCUCGUGCCGUGAGGUGUCGGCUUAAGUGCCAUAACGAGCGCAACCCUUAUCUU